GGAGCGCGGGGGGCCGCAGCCGUGAAGGAUGGCAGCGGCGGAGAGGGGCAAGUGCCCCGCGCUGCCGCUCGCCAACGGCCGGUGCAUCCCGGUGCUGGGGCUCGGUACUUCCCAUCGAGGUGGCUAUUCCCAUGAGGCUGUGGUCUGUGCGUUACAGAGAUGUGGCAUUCGUCAUAUUGACACAGCAAAAAGAUAUGGCUGUGAAUCACUCCUCCAAAAAGCCAUCAAGGAGAGUGGUGUGAAGCGAGAGGACCUCUGGGUAACUACCAAACUGUGGUAUAAUGAUUACGGCUAUGAAAACACAAAGAAGGCAUGUUUGGAGUCCUGCGAACGACUUGGUGUUGAGUAUCUUGAUCUUUAUUUGAUACACUGGCCUGAUGCACAUGUUCCAGGUAAAAGUAAUCGAGAGGUGCGAGCAGAAACCUGGAGAGCAAUGGAGGAGCUCUAUGAGAAAGGUUUGUGUAGAUCAAUUGGUGUGAGCAACUUUCUUAUCAGUCAUCUUGAGCAACUAAAGGAGGACUGUAUGAUUAUUCCACAUGUUAAUCAGGUUGAAUACCACCCUUUCCAAAGACCUCAGGAGCUGGUGGAUUAUUGUAGGAGCAGAGACAUUGUUUUUGAAGGCUACUGUCCUUUGGCUAAAGGUGAAGCACUCUCUCAUCCUGCUGUCAUUCAGCUGGCAAAGAAAUAUGGCAGAACUCCAGCACAGAUUUGCAUACGCUGGAGUAUACAGAAUGGGAUUGUCACUAUUCCAAAGUCCACAAGAGCAGAAAGGAUACAGGAAAACUGCAAGGUGUUUGAUUUCACGCUGGCAGAAGAGGAUGUUGAAAUUCUGAAUGGAAUGCAUGAUGGGAGACACGUUUCCUGGGACCCAAGCCUUAUUGUGUGAUGAAGGGCUGCAGUUCCUCCUCCUGUGCAGAUUUCUGUAAGACAGGCUUAUCUCUACCAAGAAAACUUUUUCACCUUUCUACAAUGGCCACUUUUAAGAUCCAGCAGUGCAUCCAUUUUAUCAGUGCAACCCAUCCUCUUGCCAGGAGGAACAAGGAAUACACCUGAAAACUGAAGGUUUUCUGUUGUAAUCUGACAGAAGAAGAUGUGGAGCUUUUGAACAAUAUAUCAACAGGAAAUUAAUUGAUCUAACCUGUGCACUGUGGAAGGGACAGUUGAAAGCCAGAGCGUCCCUGUGCCGCCAAAGUGAUGAAACAUUGAUUCGUUUUAAACUGGACAAUGAAUCUAGAGUUCCUCUUGGAUACUCAGAGUGCCUAAUAAAUACCAGCAGUCAAAGGUCA